rnacentral:rRNA from 1 species
AGUGAACGCUGGCAGUAGGCCUAACACAUGCAAGUCGAACGGCAGCACAGUAAGAGCUUGCUCUUACGGGUGGCGAGUGGCGGACGGGUGAGGAAUACAUCGGAAUCUACUUUUUCGUGGGGGAUAACGUAGGGAAACUUACGCUAAUACCGCAUACGACCUACGGGUGAAAGCAGGGGAUCUUCGGACCUUGCGCGAUUGAAUGAGCCGAUGUCGGAUUAGCUAGUUGGCGGGGUAAAGGCCCACCAAGGCGACGAUCCGUAGCUGGUCUGAGAGGAUGAUCAGCCACACUGGAACUGAGACACGGUCCAGACUCCCACGGGAGGCAGCAGUGGGGAAUAUUGGACAAUGGGCGCAAGCCUGAUCCAGCCAUACCGCGUGGGUGAAGAAGGCCUUCGGGUUGUAAAGCCCUUUUGUCGGGAAAGAAAAGCAGCAGGUUAAUACCCCGCUGUUCUGACGGUACCCAAAGAAUAAGCACCGGCUAACUUCGUG